rnacentral:lncRNA from 1 species
UUAGGGUUUCUGAAUCAUUCCUUUAUGUAUGAUUUCUUAUGUACUGAAACCCUAGACUACUCCCCGCCUCCAAAACUUCCUCAAAAACUUCUCACUCAAAACCCUCGUUCUGUGCUAUAAAUUCAUCUAGAACUCUUCCUCUUCGAAGUUCUUCUAUGCGUAUCGCUGGCUGUUGGACAGCUCGUAAAUUUCUGGGCUGGCAAGAAAGUAUAAUCUUGAAGAAGCCCAGAUGCUCGUGCAAAAACUAAGCCAGUACCAAUUAGAAGGCUCGAAUUCCUUUUUGUUUUUUAGUUUAAUUUUGGCUACGAUUAAUUGGUUAUCUGCGCUUCUGAGAUUUAUGAUACUUGAAUUAUGAACUUGAAUAAUGGUUGAAUUUCAUGAUAUUGAGCUGAAACUUAAUUUAUUUUAUAUUUUUGUUUUAAAUUUUUAGAAUUUGAAUUUUCUCUUGAAUUUGUGUGGGCAGGGAUGACUUUUUUACAGCUUUUUAAUGCCAGUUCUGCUUCAGAAAAUUCUUGAUUGAUAAAGCUGUUUAUUUCUGAGCCAAUUUUUAUUAGUCACGCUACAUGUAUAUCAUAUUUGACAUUUUUGUUUACAUGGUAAUACAUCAUUGGACAGUUUAAAAGAAAGUCUUUUCGGCCACAAUUUUUUCGAAAACAUGGAUGAUGUUAUCAUCAAUUCAAAGAAAAAUCUGUACAAACAGCAUUAUUCAAAAUUAUAACUUGAGAAAGUAAACGAGAAUUCAAUUGAUAUAAAAAAUGAAUAAUGCUCUGCACAGCUUUUCCAUCCUUUUUGUUUCCAAAAAAAAUUGUGGACAGGAAAAUAGUCUUUUUUAUUUUUUUAAUUGUCCUGUUGUCAUGUGACAAAAUGUAAACAAAGAUACUAAAGAAUGUACAUGUAGCAUGAUUGUAUAAUUUUUAUCUAACUUGGUGUAUUCCAUUAAUUAAUCGUGUUUAUUACUGAUUUAAUUAUUUUUUUAUUUUUUUGUUCAAAAUCGCAUGUUGAAUCAGCUUUAUCUUUCAUUCAAAUUUUGAAUAAUAAUAAUAAUAAUAAUAAAUUGUUUUCUGUUGGAGGCUAGAAAUUAUCUUAUAUAUAGUCCAUGAUGAGUUAAUCUACAUAACUGAGAUGUGGCUGGCUUCAAGUUCCUGCUUUUCAGGGAGAACCUACUUGUGGCUGCUACAUCAUAGCAUGAAAUCACUGGAAAUCUCUGAGACUAUAUUAUCUACUAAAAGAGGUUUUUGCUGACUUCAAUUUAUUGACACACUGCGUUUAUUAGAAACAAUGCUUCUAUUCCCUGCGUGCUUCUGAAACAUUAGCUGAGAAGACUUCUUUUGUUUUUAGCUGAUUGAUAAAGCUGUUUAUUUCUGAGACAAAUUUUUUAAACAUAUUGAAUUCUCUUUCUACAAAAUCCAAUGUUGACUCAACUCUUAUCUUUCAUUCGAUAAUUGUGAAUAAUGAUAAACAGUGUUUUGUGUUGGAGGCUAGAACUUAUUUUAUUUGUAGUCCAUGAUUAGUUAGUCCACAUAAUUGAGAUGUGGUUGGUCUCAAGUCCCUGUUUUCCAGGGAGAACCUACUUGAGGAUGCUACAUCAAAGCAUGAAAUCAGUGGAAAUCUCUGAGGCUAUACUCUUCUAAAGAAGGUUCUUUGUCGACUCCAAUUUUAUUGACUGGGUCUACAUUUAUUACAAACUUUGUUAUUUAAUGUUUGGCAGUGCUUCAAAGUGGGUUCUUAACUGCUUUUCUCUGUAUGCUGCUGAGAAUUUGGCUAAGAAUCCUUCUUUGAAGCACAGCCAAACAAGCUGUUAGUAUGGGGAAUUUUUGCAGUUCUGAUGUAUAAAUUUGCAAUCAAGAGUGCCAAUGAUGCUACGUUGGAUAGUAAAUGAGGUGUAGUUAACCCAAGUCCCUGCUUUUGCAGUGGAACCUGCUUGGUGGAGCUACACUACACGUGAUCAAAGCUUAUCUACUGAGGCGAAGAGUAUGUGUGUGUGUAUAUAUAUAUUAUUAUUAUUUUUUUUUCCCCAAGAAAAUAACAAUUUCCCUCAAAUAUAUUUAAAGAAACUUGAGUACUGUUCUUUUAUUAAUCUUUAUUGGCAAUUGAUUAUGUGGAUUGAAAUUGAGUUUAACUAUACUCUUUGCCCUUGAAUAAACAUUGGGUUUAGGGUCUGAAGAACUCAUAAAUUGUUGUGUUGUCUAUCAGCUUCAUCUCUGUUAAUAUUCCACGAGAAUGGAGUUAAAUAACAGCGCUACAUGUAAAUUUUAAGAAAAUUUUCAUUUAUUAUUUAAUAAAAUCUAAAUUAUCAAACGUUCAGAGGUGGAAUUGGAAUCAGUUUGGUUUUGGUGUCAAAACUUGUUAUAAGCAUUUUUGUCCUACAGAAGUCGUUUUCGGCUUUCAAGCUGAGCUAAACAUGCUUUAAUGUAAAAUAUUAUAGGAACUAGUUAUGUGUAAUGUGGUUUACGAAUAGGGGUUAGCUUCCCCUAGUAAAUAUUGAGAGCAUUAUCUUCAUUUUAUCAUGUUAAUUAGCCCAUGUUUGGUUUAGUUAGAAAUAAGAUUUUUAUUAGAAUCUGCUAUGAAAUUCCAAAUUUUGAAAUUAACAAUAGUGGUCCAAAAGUUGACUCCCUUGUGUACACUUUUCUUUGAAGUAUCAAAUGUAUAACUUGAUAAGCAUGUCUAAAGGCUAUAUUACCCUUGCCAUUACAUAAACAAAACCUAUCACUUUGGUGUAUCUUGGGCCAAAAAGCUGCUCAACAACGUGAUUGUGUCAUGAAAUUACGUAUCAAAUUGAAAAUCCGAACAGGGCAAACUUGUUAAAAGCAAAAGUACUGAUGGAAUGAGAUGUUAUGUUUCUUCUGUGUCACAAUUUAUCUUUGCUAAAAACAUAAAAUAUUAAUGGUCCCCAUAUUACUCUCUGAAGUAAUCUCAUGUAAAAUUCAUCAGCAUUCUAAACUUCUGUUGAUUAAUGAAAUCAUAUUUUGUUAGUAAGUAUAGUUUCAAUUUUAAAAUGGUGUAACAAUCAUUUUGUAAUAUUAGUAUUAAUAUUCUAUUUAUUAGAAAAGAUGAAAGAUUGUGCAUUUUACAUUAGGAUUAACAAAAGAGGGUGCACGUUAUAAGAUUACUUUCAUACGGUAUCUUGAAUAUCGUUAUAUUAGUUAGCUGAUGCCAUGUUAUCAAGUUAUAUUAAAAUGCCUCUUAAGGUCGUGUAGAUCAAGGUAUUUUAAGGUAUUAGUUUCCCAUAAGUAGGAUGUGAAAUUAUCUUUACUUUGAUUGGACUAUAGAAAUGUCAAAUUGUGUGGGCUAGGUUGAAUCAACUCGGUUGUCUUGGAAUAUUUUGGCCCUUAAUUGGCUUGUUUGGUAGAUAAGCCCAUGGCUUAUAAGUUAUAGGUAUUGGUGUUAGUUGCACAACAUUUUACUUGUGUUUUAUCGUCAAGACACAGAGUUAGUAAUACAAACAUGACUCUGUAGAUUGAAGAACAUUUUCCAAUUUCAUUUCCAUGUCUUACAUGAAACCAAAAUGCGUCUCAUUUUAUGAUAAAAUCUACUUCAUUCUCUUGAAUGACAAAUUCAAUGAUCUAUACAAUUGGCUAUAUUUUGAAGUAUAAUUCUAGUUAAUGUUAAUAAAAUUUGUGACUAGAACUGCAGUAGAUAUUUUAGUUUUUGUGUUGUGUCUUGCAUUAUUUUCUAAGGAAACAUUUGGUUAUCUUUGUGUCUGAUCUUGUAUAUAGUUGUAAUUGUCUGAGAUGACCAUAUGAUUGUUUAUUGAUUAGGUAAAUAAUUUCUCAAAACAGUAUGCUUUACAUGUUUAUUACUUUGGCUCAAUACCAAUAAAUCUCGUUCUACACGCUAAACCAUAGGUGCCACCCUCGUCUUUCUCGUCUUGAAUCCCAGUUUCAUCAUCCUCCACCAGGGUUGAAUCACAAACUCGUCAAAUCUCUGCGUCCUUUUAUUCUUCGACCACUCAACUUUGUGAACGAGGUCAACGUUGAAGCACAAUAUCGAAGUAAUGGUUGAAUUUCUUGAUGAGACAAAUCAUAGUUUUAUUAUAUUUUAUUUAUAUAUGUUUUUUGAUUUUUAGAAUUCGAUUUAUGGUUUCAGUUGGUGUUGGCAGUGAUAAGCAUUUUGACAGCUUUUUAUUGCUUAUCACUGUCAGUUCUGGUUGAGAAAAUUGUUCAUUGAUAUAUCUAUGAUUUUCUGUCAGUCACUUUAACACAAAUAAUUCUUUUGCAUUAUAUGUUAUUUUCCCAAAUUUUAAUAAUCUCCCUGCAUUGAUUAUUUCAUUAAACAAUCAUUCUUGUUACUGUUCUUCUAAUUACUUUUGUCAAAAUUUAAUAAUUUUGUGUUGGAAACUAGAACGUUAUCUUAUAUAUGAGGAGUUAAUCCACGUAAUUGAGGUGUAGAUGGCCUCAAGUCCCUGUUUUACAGGGAGAACCUACUUCAGUUGCUGUAUGAAAGCAGGAAAUCACUGGAUAUCUCUGAGGCUAUAUACUUUAAUACAAUGUAAUUUUUAUUUUAUUUUAUUUUUUUUCAAAAUACUGAUGUGAGCCUGAUUAAGUAAUAAAAGAAGUUUU